UGUGGUCACAAGGACUUGGGCCUGAGGAGUUGCCUCUGCAUGCUAUCAAGCUUAUUUAAAUAUUUGAAAUAUUUGUGGUUGAGGAGGAAAUGCCAAUUAUCUUUAAAAAUGAGAUUCUGCUCUUGGCUACAAGUGUUUUUCCAAAAUCCGAGGAUUAAAGCAAACUGUUUUUCCAAGCUCAUGAGCUAUUUUUAUCUGCAACAAUAUGGAGCACAUACACCUGUUUGCACGCACAUCAAUGUGCCUGGACGCUUGUGUUCAUCAUCUUGAAGGCAGAGCUAUGAGACAGAGUAGCUGUGCUACAGGCCUUCUAGGUGCUACAGGCUGCAACAGAGGGGGCCUAUUGAGGAGUGAUACGUGCGAGAAGAUCAGAAGAUUGAGAAGAUUAGAAAAAUGGAGAAAAGCAUAAAGAAGAAAAGAAAACUUGUCUGGUCUCCCACCACCCCGAGUUGUGGUGAGGACUUGGUGGGCUGCCUUCUGUAUCCUUGCCCCCUGUGCCCUCCAGAUCCAUGCCCUGUGCUGCUGUGUGCCUGCAGCCUCAUCAGCAGGCCCUGUACCCUCUUGUAUGGCUGUGUUUGGCUACUUGGAAGGCCUGGCAGAAGGAAUGAGAGCAAAGCCAGUGAAAUUUUUCCCCUGCCCCCCUCCCUGCAAGGUCACCUUGUUGCAGAUCGCUGCUUCUCUCAAGACUCAGGAGCCUAAUGAGACACUGUCUCCUGCUGUG